UGAACCAACUUGGUAAAUUCAAAGUGAAUAUCUACCACCUACGAAUUUUGUGAAAUGCAGGAGAAUAAAGGUAUAACCUUUAAAUACCAGCGAUGUGUAGAACGUUUCUGUGGGUGACACCAGUUCACUGCAAUGCUUUUUAUACUGAAUGUGAUUCUAAUCACGUCACUGUGACCGAGCCUACCCACAGGCGCUCAGUAUAAGAUUACAAAAAAGUGCAAGAACUACAGCCGUUUCGUGCCAUUUCUACAAGUCCCCCAGCUUUCAAUUUUGCUAGAACACGGGGAAGGAGCUCUGCGAGAUGUCUUCGGCUGAAUUACAUUGAACUGGUUUAGAUUUCUUUCAGCUUGGACUUCUGAAGAGACGAAGGCGUCAGGCUGGAAGUCACGUUGGAAUGGGGGGAAAACCAAAGUCAGGGAGCCCAAUAAUGAUCGUUUACAGCAAAGAUCAUAGAGCGCUGCGAUCUCUGGUUUGCAGCUUAUUUUGCAGUAAUUACAUUUCUUUGAUGCAGAACGCAAAAUCCAGGUUGCACGUAUAGAGGACAGGAAUAUUUAGCAUUAAUAAAGUGGAAAUAUUCUCUUCA